rnacentral:lncRNA from 1 species
GUGAUUGAAGGCAGAGGCCUAAUGGGGCCUGUUCAUUUUCUGCAUUAUAAUGGCAUAUUUAGGGUCCAGAAUGUGUCUCAAUAGUACUGAUCAUGUUGGGUACCCAGAUGUUUUCUAGCACCCACAUCAGAUGAUUCAGAACUGCAAUUCCAGGUGCAGAAGGUUUGAUGCACUCUUCUGGCUUCCUUAGACACCAUGUCUACCAAGGAAAGACACACAUUCACCGCCACACACAUACAUGGGAUUACAUAUUGUAAAACGUGCUUUCUUCACAUGUGUAUGUUAUUUUUUCUAAAUAAAAAUAAUUUAAUUC